rnacentral:rRNA from 1 species
AGAGAGAGACAUGCGCGCAUAUCAAUAAGCGGAGGAAAAGAAACUAACAAGGAUUCCCUUAGUAACGGCGAGUGAAGCGGGAAGAGCUCAAAUUUGAAAUCUUCAAGGUUUUACCUUGACGAAUUGUAGUUUAGAGAAGUGUUUUCUGCUGAAGUUUUGGUAAAAGUUCUUUGGAAUAGGACAUCAUAGAGGGUGAGAAUCCCGUAUUUGACCAUUAUUUUCAGCUUUGUGAUACACUUUCAAAGAGUCGGAUUGUUUGGGAAUGCAGUCCAAAAUGGGUGGUAAAUUUCAUCUAAAGCUAAAUAUUGGCGAGAGACCGAUAGCGAACAAGUACCGUGAGGGAAAGAUGAAAAGAACUUUGAAAAGAGAGUUAAACAGUACGUGAAAUUGUCAAAAGGGAAGCGUUUGACACCAGUGUUGUUUUCUCGAAAAUCAAUUAAAAAUGGCUCGAUUUUGUAUUGCUUGAGACCUUAAAAGCUCACUGUACAUUUUUCGUGUCUUUUUUAAUGCACUUUUCGUUUAACAAGUCAACAUCAGUUUCUUUUGUUGUAAAAGGGUCAUUGGAAGGUGGCUUUCUUUUCGGAGAAAGUGUUUAUAGCCUUUGGCCUCUGCAAUCGGAGAGACUGAGGUCUGCAGCGUAGACUCUUCGGGGUUAGAUACAUUUGUGCUAAGUUAUAGCUUUUUAUAGACAACUUGUUGACUAUAAUUAGUCUUGUAGCUUACUCGCUUAUGCUAUUUUACCUACGCUUAGGAUGUUGAAGAUGUAGCACAUCAU